AUACAACAGGUGUAGUAGACCUCACAGUGAAAUGCUGAAUACAACAGGUGUAGUAGACCUUACAGUGAAAUGCUGAAUACAACAGGUGUAGUAGACCUUACAGUGAAAUGCUGAAUACAACAGGUGUAGUAGACCUCACAGUGAAAUGCUGAAUACAACAGGUGUAGUAGACCUCACAGUGAAAUGCUGAAUACAACAGGUGUAGUAGACCUCACAGUGAAAUGCUGAAUACAACAGGUGUAGUAGACCUCACAGUGAAAUGCUGAAUACAACAGGUGUAGUAGACCUCACAGUGAAAUGCUGAAUACAACAGGUGUAGUAGACUUCACAGUGAAAUGCUGAAUACAACAGGUGUAGUAGACCUCACAGUGAAAUGCUGAAUACAACAGGUGUAGUAGACCUCACAGUGAAAUGCUGAAUACAACAGGUGUAGUAGACCUCACAGUGAAAUGCUGAAUACAACAGGUGUAGUAGACCUUACAGUGAACUGCUGAAUACAACAGGUGUAGUAGACCUCACAGUGAACUGCUGAAUACAACAGGUGUAGUAGACCUCACAGUGAAAUGCUGAAUACAACAGGUGUAGUAGACCUCACAGUGAAAUGCUGAAUACAACAGGUGUAGUAGACCUCACAGUGAAAUGCUGAAUACAACAGGUGUAGUAGACCUCACAGUGAAAUGCUGAAUACAACAGGUGUAGUAGACCUGACAGUGAAAUGCUGAAU